GACGAACGCUGGCGGCGUGCUUAACACAUGCAAGUCGAACGGUGAAGCCCUUCGGGGUGGAUCAGUGGCGAACGGGUGAGUAACACGUGAGCAACCUGCCCCUGGCUCUGGGGCAACCACUGGAAACGGUGGCUAAUACCGGAUACGACCCGCCUCGGCAUCGAGUGUGGGUGGAAAGUUUUUCGGCUGGGGAUGGGCUCGCGGCCUAUCAGCUUGUUGGUGAGGUGAAGGCUCACCAAGGCGACGACGGGUAGCCGGCCUGAGAGGGCGACCGGCCACACUGGGACUGAGACACGGCCCAGACUCCUACGGGAGGCAGCAGUGGGGAAUAUUGCACAAUGGGCGAAAGCCUGAUGCAGCGACGCCGCGUGAGGGAUGACGGCCUUCGGGUUGUAAACCUCUUUCAGCUCCGAAGAAGCGAAAGUGACGGUAGGAGCAGAAGAAGCACCGGCUAACUACGUG
rnacentral:rRNA from 1 species